UUCCAGGUUCUGCGGAGCUUCGCGCCGGGGCUCUGCAUUUUCCUCGAGGUGCUUUAUAAAAGGAAUUAUUCUUCUAUCUUGGGGAAAUUUUGCAUCCUGGGUCCCGUCUCUGCUUCUCACGGGCAUCAGAUGCCCCAAGUGGGUUCGGUCCUCUCCGCGAGCUGGACUUCGGAAGCCCGCUUGCUUCCGGGUCAAGCCUUGAGCACUGAUGAGCUUGGCGAUUCAGACCCGGCUCGUUGUGGCUCAGAAUCGGGGUGUCCCAUGAUUAACGCGCACUUGGGCAAACUUCUUGAUAUACGGACCAGGGAACCGAGUACCCGAAGAAGGAUUCUUCAGGUCGCUGCCUCCCCAGUGUCCGAGCCAGUGCAGCGUGUUCCCCGGGAACUCACCCCCACCAUCCCCAGUUUCGGGUUCUUCCUGAGGAGAAGGUCAUCUCUGAGAACGCGACUCCGGUAUUGACGUCAUUUUAGCUACAUCAUUUACCUGAAGCACCCCUUGUCUGUUCCAGAGGAUGGCAACUAUGUAAAGGAGUGGAGUCCCUAGCCACAAGCCCCUCGCACCCGCUCCAUAAUGGGCUUCUCCAGCCCUUUUUGUUGAAGCGAUGAAGAAAGAGGUGACAUGUGAAAACUUUUCUGUAGGGAAGAUCCUUCCCUCUUGAAGACAGUCUGCAUUUUAUGGAGAGUGGAUCGGAGGUCCAGAGAGUCUGAAGACUGCUGCACAGGGAAGGGGUGAUGAAGCCAGGGCCAGACCAAGGUCCUUGGGCUCUCUUCACUCACCUUGUCUAUGCGAAGAGGAUGAAGGUUUAUUGAUAUGCCAGGAACGCCUAAAGCAAAUGCAGAGUGAUAGAAACAGACGAUAUCCUGCAAACCUUGAUAAGGAAACUGAAGCUCAAGAUAGGAUGCUUUUUGCCCAUCACUUCCACUUUAUCUCUGGGUCCUGGCAAGUUGGUGUGACCCAAGGGCCAAAGCGCAACAUGGUGGCUCCCAGGACACCAAAUAUCCGAUAUGUUCGGUCUUCAGUCAUUUGUUUCAAUGUCACUUACAUCAUACACACAUAUGGCUUAAAACCAGUUUAAAAUAUUUAGCACAGUCUGUAUCUUUUUAUCUUAAUGCUUUAAUGACCACAAUUUCUUUGAAACUGGUCUGGUUCAACCCCAGAGGGGGCUGGUUCUAGCACUUAGAAGAGAGACCGGCCAAUGUGUGGCAGUGUUCCAUCUUUUAGAGGUUCCUUACUUUAUUCAAAUUACUACUCAUUGAGAGCAUCAGUAAAAGCCUUUCUCCCUCGCUCCCCAUGCAUGCUUAACCUAAUUAACUAUAAAUGAGGAAAAUGCUAUCCACAUUAAAAGAAAAUGUUAGCCUAUAAAUUAUCCCACUCUUUCUGGUGAGGCUAAGAACUCCUUUAUAAAGCUCAACCAGGGGCAGACUCUCUGUUUAUGUGCUUCCCGUGCUCUCCCUCACUAGAAUGGGCUACAGAAUUCUUAGUUCAUGGUGGGUCUCUUCCUCUUAUUGAUUAUGAUGCUAAGCAUAUUUUCUCAAGUUGUUUCCCUUUGUGUUUGCUUAAAUAUUCUCACGAAACUUGAAUAACGAAGCAGAAUGCCUCUAAAAUGCCCUCAGGUGCUCCCUGGGGUAGAAAAGUAGCAAGUGACACCCUAGAUUUGUCCUAUCAGUACAGGAAAGACUGCUCAUCACCUGCUUCUAUAGGCAGAUGCAGUCAUAGAAAACCAGAAGUCUUGAAAGCCCCAGUCCACAGACCCCAAAAUAUUCUCUCUCUGGCUGAUGCCACUCAACCUUCCACACCUGCUGCCCUCCUUCUGAGCCACUCCAUUAGAUAAGUCAACACAUAUAGGGAAAGUUCUUCUGAAAACUCUUGUUAGAAGGAGUGCCCAUUAACACUUUACUCUGAAAGCCCAGAUUAAUUUAUCAAGUUAUCCUAGCUUUAACCUUUGAGAGCUGAGGGCAGGUCUCUGGCAGAAUUAGAGCGUGCAGCAGGAAAUUGGUUAUGGGGCAGGAGAAGAGGCUGGGAAUGUAGAUCACCCACAGGGGGAGCUGUCAGGAAAAGACCUUGAGCAACUCGUGGACUCGAGGGGAGGCCAAGUGUCAGGGACAAAGCAGAGACGACAAGCGGCAGCAGUGCCCAGAGCAGAGUACCCGCUCUUCAACUUCGUUCAUAGUUGUCCCUGCUUUUAAUACACAUGAUAUAUUAGGAGGUUGUAGUAACUUAGGAAAAGGCAGCAAAUGGACAAUUUCUGAUUCUCUUCUCUAUGAUGCCCUCACUCCUGUGUACCUUUGCUGCAGAGUUUAUAACAAACCCUAGUUUAUCCCUGAAGCUCUAGGGGAAACUCUAAAUUUUGGGGGUAUUAGUAGGAGGUCCCUGCCUCCAGCCUUGCUGUGGAUUUACACCUCCGUUUCUACCCUGGGCUCUGUGUGAUGGGCAGCGGAGGAAGUUGUGAUCGGGCCACUGGGGGAUGUCUGAGCCAGGCAGGCUUAACAUCCACAUCUGUAGUCAAUUCUUGAUUAUCCACACCAAUGGUCUGUGACCCAGGCCCAGGUAAUCCCAAAUAAUUGACAAUCCAAAAGGAAUUUCUCUUUGGUCUUGGAAUAUGCUCUGAUUUUUCCAGCUGCGGAUUUCUUUCUCCCACGUAUGCUUUCCUUGGUAGGAUAUGAAAAAUCAUUUAUGUUCUUUUAGCUGGACACUUGGUCUGAGCAAUGGCUUGAAGUCAGCUUCGGACUGAAAAUUUGCCUACUCCAUAGACAAAUGAUUCCCUUGCAGGCAGUUGGAUUUGACAGUAUCAUAUAUUGCAUAAAGAAUAAUCUGUGCAGGUUUCUGUGGUUCAUUCAUUCAUUCAUUCACCCGUUUGACACACAUGCAUUCAGCUCCUACUCUGUUCUAGCCACUAUACCAUGAAUUAGGGGUUUAGAGAUGAAAGAUUGAGUGCCAGCUCUUGAGGGAUAUUCCUUCUACUGGGGCUCAGUGGAAUAGAUUUUAGUAUCUUCCUCUGCAUCUGCCUGUACCUAUUACAUAUUCCCUUAUCACUCCCAUCUUCAGCUUAGCAUCUAUCUAGGCUUCCAUUUAAAAGUUUCAGAAGAGCUAUAGGUGAUUGUCGGGUUGGGCAGGGCCUCCCAGAGAUGGAAAGAACAAGAACCUAGAGUGCUCCCAUUUCUGAGGAUCCUUAAAUACGAAAGAGGAGAUGCCAAAACAGGGGUAUACAUACAUGGUAAAUUUUAAUUGUUUAAAUUUUAAAAAUUAAUAUAUUAUCCUUCCAAAAGUAUAGUGUUUCUAUAACUUUAUUUGAAGAAAAUGUCAAAAAUAUAAAUUUC